UUAAAACCUUCUUCGCUUUGAUUAUUACAUCCAGACAUGCUGCAAGCAAGAUGAAGUUGAAGAGAAAAGGUGAUGACUGAAGUUAACCAGCUUCGGAAGCGCAGCCAGCAGCUUAUUUCGAGGAGUUACGAACUGGUGUCUAGGGGCUUUGAUAGACUCAUGGAUGCUGAUGAGAGUUUCUCCAACCCAAUGGCGGAUAGCUUUUGAACUUCAUCACUUGAUGUUUGCGCCAGAAGACAUUCGACGAGCAAAGGCAACAUGUCAAAAUCGAAUAUCCGUUCUAUGUUGAACUGCUUUCCUUUGCUGAUGCUCGACAGGUCUUUGAUUGCCUCGAGCAUCAUUUUGUCUGAACUGGCUAGAGACAGAGCGGCUCUGGCGACUUUGAUUGUUGCUAUCUCAUUACGUUCCUUCCAUUUGUCUAUUGUAGACUUCAAAGCUCUGUUUGAAUUAAAAGCUUUGGAAACAAGCUUUUGUCCUGUGACUGGGCAGAAAACUUCCUCAGAUUCUUCAAACUCUUCAAACCACUGGACGAUUGCUUUUCUUUCGUAUGUCACUCCCGUUUCAAGGCUAACUGGAUCAUCCAUGAUGUCUUUCGUCAACGGACAGAUGAAGGUCUCGAAAAG